rnacentral:rRNA from 1 species
AAAAGAAACUAACAAGGAUUCCCUUAGUAACGGCGAGUGAACCGGGAAAAGCUCAAAUUUGUAAUCUGGCUGUCUUCGAUAGUCCGAGUUGUAAUCUAUAGACGUGUUUUCCGUGCUGGACCGUAUCUAAGUCCCUUGGAACAGGGUAUCAAAGAGGGUGACAAUCCCGUGCUUGAUACGACCACCAGUGCUCUGUGAUACACGCUCUACGAGUCGAGUUGUUUGGGAAUGCAGCUCAAAAUGGGUGGUAAAUUCCAUCUAAAGCUAAAUAUUGGCGAGAGACCGAUAGCGAACAAGUACCGUGAGGGAAAGAUGAAAAGCACUUUGGAAAGAGAGUUAAACAGUACGUGAAAUUGUUGAAAGGGAAACGAUUGAAGUCAGUCGUGUUCUUUGGAUUCAGCUAGUUCUUCUAGUCUACUUCCUUUGAACGGGUCAACAUCAGUUUUGUCCGGUGGAUAAAGAUAGUAGGAAUGUAGCUCCCUCGGGAGUGUUAUAGACUAUUAUUGCAUGCACUGGGUGAGACUGAGGACUGCAGCUCGCCUUUUGGCCGGCCUUCGGGUACGUUCGAGCUUAGGAUGUUGACAUAAUGGCUUUAAACGACCCGU